rnacentral:rRNA from 1 species
UGAGGAAUAUUGGUCAAUGGACGAGAGUCUGAACCAGCCAAGUAGCGUGCAGGAUGACGGCCCUAUGGGUUGUAAACUGCUUUUAUAUGGGGAUAAAGUGGAGAACGUGUUCUCCUUUGCAGGUACCAUAUGAAUAAGGACCGGCUAAUUCCGUGCCAGCAGCCGCGGUAAUACGGAGGAUGCGAGCGUUAUCCGGAUUUAUUGGGUUUAAAGGGUGCGCAGGCGGCACGUCAAGUCAGCGGUCAAAUCCCGGGGCUCAACCCCGGUCCGCCGUUGAAACUGGCGAGCUAGAGUAUGUGCGAGGAGAGCGGAAUGCGUGGUGUAGCGGUGAAAUGCAUAGAUAUCACGCAGAACGCCGAUUGCGAAGGCAGCCCUCCAGCACACGACUGACGCUCAUGCACGAAAGCGUGGGUAUCGAACAGGAUUAGAUACCCUGGUA